rnacentral:misc_RNA from 1 species
CCGAGUCAGGGUCUUUCAGGCCCGAAACUCCAACCCAAUGUCUAUUUACCAUGUUGCUUUGGCGGGCCCGCUUCACGGCCGCCGAUGGUAUUUUAACCAUUGGCCAGUGCCCGCCGAUAGCCUAAACAAAUUCUUAUUAAUUGUGAUGUCUGAUUAUAAUGAAAAUUCAUUA